rnacentral:rRNA from 1 species
AAGAAGCAAGACCGCGAGGUGGAGCAAAACUCAAAAACUUGUCUCAGUUCGGAUUGUAGGCUGAAACUCGCCUACAUGAAGCUGGAGUUGCUAGUAAUCGCGAAUCAGCAUGUCGCGGUGAAUACGUUCCCGGGCCUUGUACACACCGCCCGUCACACCAUGAGAGUUGGCAAUACCCAACGUACGUGAUCUAACCCGCAAGGGAGGAAGCGUCCUAAGGUAGGGUCAGCGAUUGGGGUGAAGUCGUAACAAGGUACC